rnacentral:rRNA from 1 species
UACAGAGGGCUCAAGCGUUGUUCGGAUUCAUUGGGCGUAAAGGGCGCGUAGGCGGCGCGGUAAGUCGAGUGUGAAAUCUCGGAGCUUAACUCCGAAACUGCAUUCGAUACUGCCGUGCUUGAGGACUGGAGAGGAGACUGGAAUUUACGGUGUAGCGGUGAAAUGCGUAGAUAUCGUAAGGAAGACCAGUGGCGAAGGCGGGUCUCUGGACAGUUCCUGACGCUGAGGCACGAAGGUCAGGGGAGCAAACGGG